rnacentral:rRNA from 1 species
UUUGUUUCCUAAAACUUACUACUACUUAUUGUUUUAUUUAAAUCCCCUGUUUAUAUAUAGAUUUAACUCAAAAUAGAGCCAAAGCCAGAUUCAAACUUUCCCUAA